rfam:Glycine max cultivar Williams 82 chromosome 15, whole genome shotgun sequence.
UUUUUAUUGGACGUUGACCGUCACGUGUUGUGUUUUUAUUGGACAUUAAUUUCGUGCACCUAAUUAAUGUCAGCAUUCAAUAAAAGUGCGACACAUGACGGUCAACGUCU